AACGAACGCUGGCGGCAGGCCUAACACAUGCAAGUCGAGCGCCCCGCCAGGGGCGCGGCGGACGGGUGGGUAACGCGUGGGAAUAUGCCCUUUGCUACGGAAUAGUCUCGGGAAACUGGGGGUAAUACCGUAUACGCCCUUUGGGGGAAAGAUUUAUCGGCGAAGGAUUAGCCCGCGUUGGAUUAGGUAGUUGGUGGGGUAAUGGCCUACCAAGCCGACGAUCCAUAGCUGGUUUGAGAGGAUGAUCAGCCACACUGGGACUGAGACACGGCCCAGACUCCUACGGGAGGCAGCAGUGGGGAAUCUUAGACAAUGGGGGCAACCCUGAUCGAGCCAUGCCGCGUGAGUGAUGAAGGCCUUAGGGUUGUAAAGCUCUUUAAGCUGGGAAGAUAAUGACGGUACCAGCAGAAGAAGCCCCGGCUAACUCCGUG
rnacentral:rRNA from 1 species